GACGAACGCUGGCGGCGUGCUUAAUACAUGCAAGUAGAACGCACAGUCUAUACCGUUGUUUGCUACACCAUAGACGGUGAGUUGCGUACGGGUUAGUAACGCGUAGGUAACCUGUCUGGUAGCGGGGGAUAACUAUUGGAAACGAUAGCUAAUACCGCAUAAUAUUAAUUAUUGCAUGAUAAUUUAUUGAAAGGUGCAAUUGCACCACUACUAGUUGGACCUGCGUUGUAUUAGUUAGUAGGCGAGGUAACGGCUCACCUUGGCGGCGAUACAUAGCCGACCUGAGAGGGCGGGCGGCCACACUGAGAGUGUGACAGGGCACAGAGGCCUAGAGGAAGCAGCAGUAGGGAUUCUUGAGCAAUGGGCGAGAGUCUGACCGAGCUACGCGGCAGGAGGAAGGAAGAUUUCCGGAUCGUGGAGCACUGUUGUAGGGGAGGAACCGGUGUGAGAGUGGAAAGAUCACACUGUGACGGUAUCUGACCAGGAAGGGACGGCUAACUACGUG
rnacentral:rRNA from 1 species